CUCUGUCGGGACGUCAUGUCGUUGUUGACCUGCAGGAGGCAAGUACUUGCUAUUUGUUGGCUCAUAGCAAAAUAGAAACCUGGCAGCAGGAAAUCCAGACAUAAAAGUGACGCCAAGUCAAAGCGGACGCGUCGCCACGAAAGCGCCGAGUGGAACCAAACUGCGGGCAAACCUCUUGGGCGGCUCGACGUGGAAGUGGCGGCGUUUCACUUCGCUGCUUUCUCGCUCUGUCAACGCCGUUGUUUUUGAGCUGGCCAGGACGAAUGACACACAGGAAGGAUUUAAAGGGGGGAGGAUGUGUGUGCGUGUGGUUACAAAGUACUCAUGAUAAUGAAAACACAGUACUUUCUGUUUCCCCUCCA